CGAACGACUCUUGGCAACGGAUAUUUUGGCUCUUGCAUAGAUGAAGAACGUAGCGAAAUGCGAUACUUGGUGUGAAUUGCAGAAUCCCGUGAACCAUUGAGUCUUUGAACGCAAGUUGCGCCCUAGGCCAUACGGUCGAGGGCACGUCUGCCUGGGCGUCAC
rnacentral:rRNA from 1 species